GGCUCCGUGGCUUAAUGGUUACGUCUUCUGUCUCCCAAGCAGAAGGUUCUGGGAUCAAAUCCCGGUCGGUACCU
rfam:Culex pipiens quinquefasciatus supercont3.2117 genomic scaffold, whole genome shotgun sequence.